rnacentral:misc_RNA from 1 species
GAACAUUGUAAGUAUACCUACACACUCAGCAGCUAGACACACAGAACCACUGCUAAGAAUACCUUUGUAUCUUACAUUAAUUUGAAAGGAGCAUUAUAACUAUUUUUUUUUUCUAUCUAUUUUUCAUAUGCAGUGGAUACAUGUCUCCAGAAUAUGUGGUGUUUGGAAAGUUUUCAACGAAAUCUGAUGUCUUUAGUUUUGGGAUCAUAUUAUUAGAGAUCAUUACAGGGAAAAAGAACAAUAGCUUUUGUCAAGAGGAUCCUUACCCAAGCAUGAUAGGAAAAAUAUGGCAUUUAUGGAGAGAAGAAAGAGCAUGGGAGAUAAUUGAUUCAUCACUAAAGCAUUCUUGUUCUCCUGAUGAAGUAUUGAGAUGCAUCCAAGUUGGGCUCUUAUGUGUGCAAGAAG